CUUGAGCAGUGAGUCAACCCCGUCGCCGAGGAGGAAGCGCAUAUGUCGCCGUAAAAGGCAGCACGCUGCUUCGAGUGCAAAAUGACGUCGUGGAGACGGAUGCGGCGCCUAAAAGCUUUUCCCGCGCGCCGGCCAAUGUGAUUAGCCUGCACAACGCUGUCGUUUUUAAUGUGUUUGCUGUUUUGCGCGAGAUGAAGAAGCGACGCCAGCAACUGUGAGACAAAAGCCUCAGAGUGCUUUUGUCAAAUGAAUAAAGUAAGUAUUCGUCAU